rnacentral:tRNA from 1 species
GGAUUGUGGCUCAGUGGUAGAGCGCUCACCUAGCAUGUGCAAGGCCCUGGGUUUGAUCCUCAGCACCA